rnacentral:rRNA from 1 species
GACGAACGCUGGCGGCGUGCUUAACACAUGCAAGUCGAGCGAACAGACGAGGAGCUUGCUGCUCGGACGUUAGCGGCGGACGGGUGAGUAACACGUGGAUAACCUACCUAUAAGACUGGGAUAACCUCGGGAAACCGGAGCUAAUACCGGAUAAGAUCUUGAUCCACAUUGUUCAAUAGUGAAAGACGGUUUUGCUGUCACGUAUAGAUGCAUCCGCGCUGCAUUAGCUGGUUGGUAAGGUAACGGCUUACGAAGGCAACGAUGCGUAGCCGACGUGAGAGGGUGAUCGGCGACACUGGAACUGAGACGCGGUCCAGGCUCCUACGGGAGGGAGCAGAAGGGAAUGGGACGCAGUGGUCGGGAGCCUGACGGAGCAGCGGCGAGUCUGUGAUGGAGGUGUCGGGAUCGUGAUGCUGUGUUACUAGGGAUAAACAAAUGUGUACGGUACUAUGCACGGCUUGACGGUACCUAGUCAGGAAGCCACGGCUAACUACGUG